rnacentral:tRNA from 1 species
GGGAGUAGCUCAGUGGUAGAGCAUCAGCUUCCCAAGCUGAGGGUCGCGGGUUCGAGCCCCGUUUCCC